GAUGAACGCUAGCGGGGGGCUUAACACAUGCAAGUCGAGGGGUAAAUGGUAGCAAUACUAUGAGACCGGCGGACGGGUGCGUAACGCGUAUGCAACAUACCUUGUGCAGGGGGAUAGCCCGUGGAAACGCGGAUUAAUAUUCCAUAGUCCAGCUAUAUCGCAUGGUAUAGUUGGUAAAGAUUUAUCGGCACAAGUUUGGCAUGCGUCUGAUUAGCUUGUUGGUAGGGUAACGGCCUACCAAGGCUACGAUCAGUAGGGGUUCUGAGAGGAUUAACCCCCACACUGGUACUGAGACACGGACCAGACUCCUACGGGAGGCAGCAGUGAGGAAUAUUGGUCAAUGGGCGGAAGCCUGAACCAGCCAUCCCGCGUGAAGGAAGACAGCCUUACGGGUUGUAAACUUCUUUUCUGUCAGAAGAAUAAGCUUGUCGAGACGAGUGAUGCCGGUAUGACAGGAAUAAGCAUCGGCUAACUCCGUG
rnacentral:rRNA from 1 species